GUUGUCCUAUGAUGAAAUUAUGGAAUUAAGGGCUGGUCACAGCUCCUGAAAUGCAUGAAGAAUAAUUCCAUGCUGCCUUCCUUCUGAGGACUUA